CAAUAUUUCUAUUUGGUUUCGCGAAUCCGUAGUCCGUACACUAUAUAUACACCGUGCCUACAUAAUAUUAUUUUAUACAUUAUAAUAUAUUAUAUUAUAUUGCGUCUUCUUUUACUCACUAUCUCUGUCUUACACACACCUAACCUAAACCGACACACGACGCUGCAUAAAGCGAACGUGAGCAAUAAUAAUAAUUAUUAAGUUUAUUAUAAUAUACGGCGUGUGCGAUUCGUGCGUGGCGCAACGUCCGAGUAGUCAUUGUUAGAAGCGUGCACAACAGCACACACAUAAUAUACACACGCGAUGGUUUACCGACAAAUGUGCCGCUGGCUAUAAUAACCGUCUAUAUAGGUACCGAGUCAAUAACACAAGCCGUUUCAAAAAAUGGGAUCGUGGAGGAUAUGGUGACUAUAUAUGGACGAUACCAAAAAAAUUUCGUUAUGACUUGUGAGCAAUGUGUUUCCCGUUCUCCUGUUGAAGUUCCAAACCGCUCGCGUACCUACCAAAGUAAGCAAAGAUAUUGACGUAACUGCCUUAAGUGGCAUUAAUUCUAAUGCACGCAUGGCAUAUAGAUGAGUAUCAGAUUUUGAACAACCUCAGAAGAUUACAGGAAAUGUAAUAUGUUUAAUGACUGCGGACACAGACUUCUCUCGAAUUCAUGUCAAUCUGGCUACCCGGCCCGAUCAGCCGACUUCCUGUCCGUCUUCCGCAAUGCCCGGAAGUACUGCAUUACGGCUUAAUCGUCGUCGUCAUCUCUUCCGGCUGAAUAUAUGGACGUCAAAGAAAGUCGUUAUCGCCGGGUUGGACGAACGAACUGGAACUGAGAUGGCAUAAGUGAUCUAAACGAACGCUACGGGCCUACGGCUCAGCCAAAGUGGACUUCUAUUACAACUUCGAAAGUAAUACUAAUUUUAUUAAUAUACUAUGUACCUUAAUAUUCCGUAUCAAUAACCGCACUGUUAUUUCUUUGACGAUUUGUAAUAAAUACGCACCUACACGCAAACAUAAAAGAAAACAUUGGACCGAUCGAAUUUUUUUUAACAACCCUGAACUGCAUAAAGACAAAGAUGCAGGGAUGGCUCGUCAAGGGAGACUUUGAGACUGAGCCUCCCCUUAAAAAAAAGCAGCUACUUGUAAAUAUAAUGAUAAAUUAAAAAUAAAAAUAUAUAAAAGUUAUUGAAAACAUAUUAAAUCGUUUUCUUUGUUUAUUAUUAAAGGCCACAAA